rnacentral:rRNA from 1 species
UACGAAGGGGGCUAGCGUUGUUCGGAAUUACUGGGCGUAAAGCGUGCGCAGGCGGCUUCUCAAGUCAGGGGUGAAAGCCCAGAGCUCAACUCUGGAAUUGCCUUUGAGACUGAGUGGCUUGAGUACGGGGAGAGGUGAGUGGAAUUCCCAGUGUAGAGGUGAAAUUCGGUAGAUAUUGGGAAGAACACCGGGUGGCGAAGGCGGCGUCCACUGGCCCGUAACCUGACGGCUCAUGCACGACAGCGUGGGGAUCAAACAGG